CACAGUGCUUCUUUGUUCGUCGGG
rnacentral:piRNA from 1 species